CGGACGGGUGAGUAAUGUCUGGGAAACUGCCUGAUGGAGGGGGAUAACUACUGGAAACGGUAGCUAAUACCGCAUAACGUCGCAAGACCAAAGAGGGGGACCUUGGGCCUCUUGCCAUCGGAUGUGCCCAGAUGGGAUUAGCUAGUAGGUGGGGUAACGGCUCACCUAGGCGACGAUCCCUAGCUGGUCUGAGGGGAUGACCAGCCACACUGGAACUGAGACACGGUCCAG
rnacentral:rRNA from 1 species